AUUGAACGCUGGCGGCAGGCCUAACACAUGCAAGUCGAACGGUAACAGGAAGAAGCUUGCUUCUUUGCUGACGAGUGGCGGACGGGUGAGUAAUGUCUGGGAAACUGCCUGAUGGAGGGGGAUAACUACUGGAAACGGUAGCUAAUACCGCAUAACGUCGCAAGACCAAAAAGGGGGACCUUCGGGCCUCUUGCCAUCGGAUGUGCCCAGAUGGGAUUAGCUAGUAGGUGGGGUAACGGCUCACCUAGGCGACGAUCCCUAGCUGGUCUGAGAGGAUGACCAGCCACACUGGAACUGAGACACGGUCCAGACUCCUACGGGAGGCAGCAGUGGGGAAUAUUGCACAAUGGGCGCAAGCCUGAUGCAGCCAUGCCGCGUGUAUGAAGAAGGCCUGCGGGUUGUAAAGUACUUUCAGCGGGGAGGAAGGGAGUAAAGUUAAUACCUCUGCUCAUGGACGUUACCCGCAGAAGAAGCACCGGCUAACUCCGU
rnacentral:rRNA from 1 species